rnacentral:tRNA from 1 species
GGUGGCUUAGUGGUAGAGUGCUUGCCUUGCAUGCAUGAGGCCUUGGGUUUGAUUCCUCAGCACCA